rnacentral:lncRNA from 1 species
GGUGCCUGACCGAAUGGAAAACCCUUCUUCGUUUUGCAGCCUGUGAGCUCCGGGUACCUGGAGACAAGGCCCCUGUGCUGCCCCCACCCCAGGAGCCGUCCCCCCAGCAUUCUGCAGUCCUCUGACUAUCAGCCUGGUGUGGACACUGAGGCCCAGAGAGGUGAUGUGAUUUGCCUAAAGUCAUGCAACUAGUGGCAGAGCCCAGCCUAGAAGCCAGGUGUCCUGGAUCUCAAGAUACUCCACUGCCUGAGGAAUGGAACAGGUUCCACACACUGGUGGUGAUUCACUGCACUGUACAUACAACACUGAGACAUUUUAGCAACUUGUCCAUGACACUUGCGAGUCUGCUCCUGAACGCCCGCUGCGCAGAUAUUUUGAGUCUGUCUCAUACGGUGGAACGAAGCAAUAGAGGGAAACAUCACUUCUCCUCCGGUUUGGAGAUCCCGAUGAGUCUGCAUUUCUGGAGCGCCAUCUGGCAUGGCAGGAACAAAAUUCUCAUAGCUAGCCGAAAACUCUUCAAUGCCAAAUGUAAAAGAUCACAACAAUCCCUUCCACAAUUGUGAGUUGGCAGCGCUUCUUGAUAAAUUUGGAAGGCAUUUACAGUGACUAUAUCCAACUUUAACUGGGCGGUGUCUUGGUUUCUUUUCUGUUGCUGUGAUUUU